AGCGAACGCUGGCGGCAGGCCUAACACAUGCAAGUCGAACGAAGUCUUCGGACUUAGUGGCGGACGGGUGAGUAACACGUGGGAACGUGCCUUUAGGUUCGGAAUAACUCAGGGAAACUUGUGCUAAUACCGAAUGUGCCCUUCGGGGGAAAGAUUUAUCGCCUUUAGAGCGGCCCGCGUCUGAUUAGCUAGUUGGUGAGGUAAAGGCUCACCAAGGCGACGAUCAGUAGCUGGUCUGAGAGAAUGAACAGCCACAUUGGGACUGAGACACGGCCCAAACUCCUACGGGAGGCAGCAGUGGGGAAUCUCGCGCAAUGGGCGAAAGCCUGACGCAGCCAUGCCGCGUGAAUGAUGAAGGUCUUAGGAUUGUAAAAUUCUUUCACCGGGGACGAUAAUGACGGUACCCGGGGAAGAAGCCCCGGCUAACUUCGUGCCAGCAGCCGCGGUAAUAC
rnacentral:rRNA from 1 species